UACAGAGGGGGCAAGCGUUGUCCGGAUUGACUGGGCGUAAAGCGCACGUAGGUGGCGCGCUAAGACUGGUGUGAAAUCGCGGGGCUUAACCCCGCGGCGCCACUGGUGACUGGCGUGCUCGAGCCUGGCAGAGGUGGGUGGAAUUGCCGGUGUAGUGGUGAAAUGCGUAGAGAUCGGCAGGAACACCAAGGGCGAAAGCAGCCCACUGGGCCAGUGCUGACACUGAGGUGCGACAGCGUGGGGAGCGAACAGG
rnacentral:rRNA from 1 species